rnacentral:rRNA from 1 species
AAUAGAUACCCCGGUAGUCCACGCCGUAAACGAUGGAUGCUAGCUAUUGGGGGGAAUCGACCCCCUCCGAAGCGAAGCUAACGCGUUAAGCAUCCCGCCUGAGUAGUACGAGCGCAAGCUUAAAACUCAAAGGAAUUGACGGGGACCCGCACAAGCGGUGGAGCGUGUGGUUUAAUUCGAUGGUAAACGAAGAACCUUACCAAGGUUUGACAUCCCGGUAGCCGUUCUCCGAAAGGAGAAUUUCAUUUAGUUGGACCGGUGACAGGUGAUGCAUGACCGCCGUCAGCUCGUGUCGUGAGAUGUUGGGUUAAGUCCCGCAACGAGCGCAACCCUUAUGAUUUAGUUGGAUUUUUCUAAACAGACUGCCCUGGUAACAGGGAGGAAGGAGGGGAUGAUGUCAGGUCAGUAUUUCCCUUACACCUUGGGCGACACACGCGCUACAAUGGCCGGUACAAUGGGCAGCUAAGCCGCGAGGUGGAGCAAAUCCCAUCAAAGCCGGUCCCAGUUCGGAUUGCAGGCUGAAACCCGCCUGCAUGAAGCCGGAAUCGCUAGUAACC